AGUGAACGCUGGCGGUAGGCCUAACACAUGCAAGUCGAACGGCAGCACAGUAAGAGCUUGCUCUUACGGGUGGCGAGUGGCGGACGGGUGAGGAAUACAUCGGAAUCUACUUUUUCGUGGGGGAUAACGUAGGGAAACUUACGCUAAUACCGCAUACGACCUACGGGUGAAAGCAGGGGAUCUUCGGACCUUGCGCGAUUGAAUGAGCCGAUGUCGGAUUAGCUAGUUGGCGGGGUAAAGGCCCACCAAGGCGACGUUCCGUAGCUGGUCUGAGAGGAUGCGCGGGCACACUGGGAGUGAGACACAGCGAGGACUCGUACGGGAGGCAGCAGUGGGGAAUAUUGGACAAUGGGGGAAAGCAUGAACCAGCACUGACGCGGGAGUGAUAAAGGCGUUAGGGUGGUAAAGCUCUUUUACCCGGGCUGAUAAUGACAGUACCUGGAGAAUAAGCGCCGGCUAACUCCGUG
rnacentral:rRNA from 1 species